UGGCAUUUAAUUGCGUAAGUGCAUGGUGAAACGUGCAUGAACUGGCGACGAGUUUCCUUUCUUCGUGUUGUGCAUUUUGAAACUGAGUCGAAGUCAAGUCCAAAAAUUUCAGGGACGCUCUUUGAACCUACGCCUAACUUUCAAGGAUAAACAGGUUUUCAUAGUGACUUCGAUCGACUUCGAUCGUCCCGACGAGAGACUGAUAAAACUCACCAAGGCACAUAUUUCGCUGCGUAGCUACUUCAGCAGACAUCAGUCGAUUGAGUCAAGUUAACUUGCUGUUUUACGAACCGUCAAUCCGUGCUUUCCAGCCGGAUGUUGAUGAUGAGAUGUGCGAUAUUUCAAAAUACACUGUCACAUGCUACCAGACUUACAUAUAUAACGGAUGAUUAACAAUUGCUUGUAUAUAUUAUUGUAUAUAUUAAUUUGAAACUAUAUAUUAUCCUACCUUGAUCUUCUUUACUAUAACGAUUCCCGUGCCCCUCUUGACAGUUGCAGUUUUUGAACAACAAGAUCUAUAGAUAUGUUUCUACGAACUUGCAUGAAGUUCUUUAUGAAAUCAUGAUGCAGUAUAUUAGUUAUAUUAGGAUUUCUGUAGUGAUAUUUUUGACCGGUAUUACAAGAAUCUGUAACAGGAAAAGUUGUUGAUGGACACAAUUAACGCGGAAAUGAAUAAUUCCUUUUUCCAUUACAAAUCACAUUUCACUUUUACAUUGCAUAUUUAACUUCCCCAGAAAUGGUUACAUAUAACUGAAUUCGAGCAGAAUAAUAAGUUUCUUCACAUCCACUGUUUAUAUUUUCCUGCAUGGAGUUCAUUAAUUCCUCACACUAUUGGGUGUAAUUUGAGACUGAAUUUAUACCCCAAGUUGGCACUUCAAAAAUUAUAAAUGUGUUUUUGUUACGCUAUGCAUGGUGUUGUAACUCUCAAGCACUUUUUUGUCAGCUUUUUUUCUAAUUUUAGGUCUCUUAAGGACUGUUAAAAUGCCAUUGAAAUAAGUUUCUUUGAUACGAGCGGCAUUUUCAAAGGUUUUUAGCACAUCGGUUACGGCUUCCCUAGGGUAUUUCAGUAUACCUAGCAGCUUGUAUUUCGGGUUUCUAAGUUUUUUUCCGACUUUAUUUAUAGUAUAAAAGCUAUCGAAUUGCAUUCGUAUACUUUUAACACGGACAUUGUUGCAGGAAUCAUACUUAUAGUGGGAGGAUUAUCGUUUCCGUAUUAUUAUAUAUUUUGGGCAGCAAGAUAUACGAGAUAGGAAGAUUACUUUACGUCAAGCCUGUUGGUAACUUUACCUUAAUGCCCGUUGGUAUAUAUAACUCAUGCCAAAAUGAUUAAGAGGUCAAAACUGUACAAAAUUUCAGCGAUAUUCGUUUGACAAUACAUUAAAGCCAAUAUACCGUAACAACUGUGUGUUUUAGGAACGGAUGUUAUUUUGAAAUACAAUGCUUAUGUCGUUGAUAAAUAUACACCUCAAAUAUGAACAAACAUUCACCUUUCGUCUCGCAUAAACUUUAUGGGUUAUUUUUACUAGUGCUUUAUAUAUAGAACAAGUAAAUAAACUAAAUAUAGGUUAUAGGUUAUAGGCGUAUAUUAUAUAUACUUGCACCUAAAAUACAAGGAGCAAAAAUAUUCAUCAAUUUUAAACCUCCAAAACAUCUAAUAAGGUGUAAAUGAUACAAAUACUGUAUCUUUUAUCUAAAGUAUUCACAAUAUCAAAAUAUCAGAAAAUUUAUCGAAGAAAAUUCAUCUUGGGAAAACAAGUUUUCGAUAAUUUAGAUAUCAUAUUACAUAACAAAAACAUGACGCUGCAAUCGGCCAUUUAAAAAGUGAAAGAGAGAUGGAAAAUCACAUUCAAUGGGAAAAUUUUUAUUCGCACAAAGGAACUGGUUUAACCAGUUCGACAGGUAUCGAGGUUGCAAUACGAUGAUGCAAUUGAAAUCAUGCAAGUAAACGUCAUUCUAACAUACAUUUCGAUAUUAAAUCAUACUCGUUACGCCAUAAAUAUAUUUAAAUAUUAAAUACUCUAUCAGGCUGCCUGGACGCCUCAUAUAAGGAAAUAAACCUA